rnacentral:rRNA from 1 species
GACGCUGGCGGCGUGCCUAAUACAUGCAAGUCGAACGGUCUUUCUAUGGAAGCUUGCUUCCACUGAGAAGAUAGGUGGCGAACGGGUGAGUAACACGUGGGUAACCUGCCCAUAAGAGGGGGAUAACAUCCGGAAACGGGUGCUAAUACCGCAUAGUUUUCUUGAUCGCAUGAUCGGGAAAGGAAAGACGGCCUUUGUGCUGUCGCUUAUGGAUGGACCCGCGGCGUAUUAGUUAGUUGGUGAGGUAAUGGCUCACCAAGACGAUGAUACGUAGCCGACCUGAGAGGGUGAUCGGCCACAUUGGGACUGAGACACGGCCCAAACUCCUACGGGAGGCAGCAGUAGGGAAUCUUCCGCAAUGGACGAAAGUCUGACGGAGCAACGCCGCGUGAGUGAAGAAAGGUUUUCGGAUCGUAAAACUCUGUUGUCAGAGAAGAACAAGUUGGAGAGUAACUGCUCCAGCCUUGACGGUAUCUGACCAGAAAGCCACGGCUAACUACGUGCCAGCAGCCGC